CUGCAGCUCUUUCUGCACAUGAGCUCAUUGAGGUUUUUGCCUUUAGAAACUGGCCCUCGGAACUUUUGGGGUUUCAGUCUUAGCUUCUGAAUCUAUGGUGCGGCCUGAUCGAUCAAUCGAUCAAUCGGUCCUGGGGUGUGUGUUUGAUAUGAAACUAGUCCGUCUUAACUGAGACCAGAGUUAGAGUGGUUAGUGUGGCAAUUCCUUGACCAUAUAGAUUUCCCCGUACCCUUGGCCACCCCUCAGAUAUUGAGAGUGAACACUACCAAGACGGCCGGACCCUCUGUGAGGAGUGUUUCCCAUGGAGCCUAGAAACUUACUCAUGGACCAGGCAACGAGGCUGGCUGCUCAGGAGGACCCUGGGAUCCUCUGGCUUGUGCCUCUCCUCCACAAGAUGAAAACGUGUACUUCCCGCAGUGAGAAAUCACCCCACCCACUCAGGAAAGCAAGGAGUCCAUUCUUUCAGCUCUUUACUGAGGCUCUCACAACUGCCUGUGCCUGCUACUCAAAGGCAGGGUCUCUCGAUGUAGUCCUGGCUGUUCUGGAAUUCACUAUGUAGACCAAGCUGAACUUCAACUCAUAGAAAUCCACCUGCCUCCACCCCAAGAGUGCUGGGGCUAAAGGAACGCACUUCACUCUGAACAAUUUAAACAGAGAAGGAGACUAUAAAUCUGGCCACUUAGGCAGAUGGGAGGUUUACACAGCAAAGACACUGCAUACUGCAUACAACUGAGCAGUUGUUACCAGGACCGUCUUGCCUACCUGGCAGAAUCAUGCUCUUCCUGACAAGCCCACAGAAGACUUAAUGGUGGACCAGAACUUCAGGACAGUGUGCGCCCAGACUGCCAUUUGAGCUGCCUGUUAGAAGUCUGUCUUUGUGUGGGAAUGGGGCUAGGUGUAAGUCCAUGCUGUCCCAUUUGUCAGUCCUGGAGAGCAAACAUUAACUGGCCUGGUGGCAGACUGCUUAUCUUCUAGGUACUUUGGAGGUGGCAUCCCUUUAGCUAUUAUAUAUAUAAAAUCUCCCUUGUGUGGUUUGGUGUCUCCUAAGCUAACCUAUUAGUAAGUCCUUUAUAACAUCAACACUAUCACCUUGAGUUUCUUUUGUAUCAGGCACUGGGAUUAUAGGCACACAUGCUGCUAAGCUUGGCUUUUUAUAUGUGUGCUGGGGCUUCGAACUCAGAUCCUCUCGCUUGCACAGCUAGCACGUUACCUACAAUCAUCUCCCCAACCCCAUUCUGUCCAUUAAAAAAAAAAACCCUA